UGGAAGAUAUAAAAAAACAUAAAUAUAGAUAGAUUAUCUUUCCAUUAGGUCGAGCGAUUUGAUCUGAUAAAUGUUUUAAAUGCUACACUCAUGAUCUUAUUAUCCAUCAACUUUGUCUUGCUCACUAUGCUUAAGGUUAGAGAAGAACAAAUACACUUUUGGUUUUGUUGGUGUUUUUCACCAACAGGGCCCAUGCACUUGAUCUCUGCCUUGUCUCUAUGAGAAGGUACACUUUGAGCAAAACCUGAAGGAGUUUUACAACUCCCAGAUUCUACCAAGUGAAGG
rnacentral:lncRNA from 1 species